rnacentral:lncRNA from 1 species
UUUAAUAAUAUGACCGUUGUGUGGAUAAGAUCUGUGAUAGGUGGCGCGUGGCGCGGCAACGGUCGGAACUUUCAACUGUGAAAGUCCUCAUGUCUCUCAUAUUCCUCACUUUGAGGCUUUGGUAGAUUUAGGCUUGGGUUGAGCAUCAUGAGAAAAUUCGUUCUGUAGUUUUACCUCGACCUUCUUUAACAGUACGGUGUUACUUUGACUCAAGUGUAAACAAAAUGAAACAAAAAGAGUAAAUCUUCACGCUCCAAAAUCUUCGGAGUGUUUUCUUCAGAACACACCGAAUUCCUGAUCUUCAAUAUCUUCA